ensembl:lncRNA
GUACCAGUUAGAUACCAGUCCUCACACAGAUACCAGUUAGAUACUAGUCCUCACACCAGUCUCUCCUCUCCUCACACAGAUACCAGUUAGAUACUAGUCCUCACACCAGUCUCUCCUCUCCUCACACAGAUACCAGUUAGAUACUAGUCCUCACACCAGUCUCUCCUCUCCUCACACAGAUACCAGUUAGAUACUAGUCCUCACACAGGUACCAGUUAGAUACCAGUCCUCACACAGAUACCAGUUAGAUACUAGUCCUCACACCAGUCUCUCCUCUCCUCACACAGAUACCAGUUAGAUACUAGUCCUCACACCAGUCUCUCCUCUCCUCACACAGAUACCAGUUAGAUACUAGUCCUCACACCAGUCUCUCCUCUCCUCACACAGAUACCAGUUAGAUACUAGUCCUCACACAGAUACCAGUUAGAUACCAGUCCUCACACAGAUACCAGUUAGAUACUAGUCCUCACACCAGUCUCUCCUCUCCUCACACAGAUACCAGUUAGAUACUAGUCCUCACACAGGUACCAGUUAGAUACCAGUCCUCACACAGAUACCAGUUAGAUACUAGUCCUCACACCAGUCUCUCCUCUCACAGAUACCAGUCCUCACACAGAUACCAGUUAGAUACUAUUCCUCACACAGAUACCAGUUAGAUACUAGUCCUCACACAGUUACCAGUUAGAUACCAGUCCUCACACAGAUACCAGUUAGAUACUAGUCCUCACACCAGUCUCUCCUCUCCUCACAUAGAUACCAGUUAGAUACUAUUCCUCACACAGAUACCAGUUAGAUACUAGUCCUCACACAGUUACCAGUUAGAUACCAGUCCUCACACAGAUACCAGUUAGAUACUAGUCCUCACACAGUUACCAGUUAGAUACCAGUCCUCACAUAGGUACCAGUUAGAUACUAGUCCUCACACCAGUCUCUCCCCUCCUCACACAGAUACCAGUUAGAUACUAGUUCUCACACAGAUACCAGUUAGAUACCAGUCCUCACACCAGUCUCUCCUCUCCUCACACAGAUACCAGUUAGAUACUAGUCCUCACACCAGUCUCUCCUCUCCUCACACAGAUACCAGUUAGAUACUAGUCCUCACACCAGUCUCUCCUCUCCUCACACAGAUACCAGUUAGAUACCAGUCCUCACACAGAUACCAGUUAGAUACUAGUCCUCACACCAGUCUCUCCUCUCCUCACACAGAUACCAGUUAGAUACCAGUCCUCACACAGAUACCAGUUAGAUACCAGUCCUCACACCAGUCUCUCCUCUCCUCACACAGAUACCAGUUAGAUACUAGUCCUCACACCAGUCUCUCCUCUCCUCACACAGAUACCAGUUAGAUACCAGUCCUCACACAGAUACCAGUUAGAUACUAGUCCUCACACCAGUCUCUCCUCUCCUCACACAGAUACCAGUUAGAUACCAGUCCUCACACAGGUACCAGUUAGAUACCAGUCCUCACACCAGUCUCUCCUCUCCUCACACAGAUACCAGUUAGAUACUAGUCCUCACACCAGUCUCUCCUCUCCUCACACAGAUACCAGUUAGAUACCAGUCCUCACACAGGUACCAGUUAGAUACCAGUCCUCACACAGAUACCAGUUAGAUACUAGUCCUCACAC